AGCGCUGCUGGGCGGCCGGCGCUGGGACAGGAGGAGUAGAGCUGCUCCUCGCAGGCUGACCGCGGCGGGUACAUCGCGUCAUGGUGGAAAGUGCCCUCUCGCCUCUGGCUGCCGUAAUAUUCCGGCGAGUGACUGGGAAGCUACAGAAGAACUAAUUGUCCCAUGUCUGAUGUAUGCCAUUAAAGUGAGAGAAACGAUGAAAAAUGCAAAGGAAAAUCCCCGCCUACCUGCACGAGUUUCCCUUUGUGUAUGGAAUGGACCCAAACUUACGUAGAUCUGCUUUAUUGAGCCUUAUUUUCGAGGCCGCCGCGAGCUGCCCUCUCCGAAGAAACCACCCACAUAAUAAUGACCCUGGAGAGCAACGCAAAACCCAACUGGCUUCCACACAAACUUCGCCAAAUGACGGGGCUCGCCUGAGGAACAGGCGAAGUGGCAAAAGCUUCUGCGAGGGGAGAAAAAAUAAACCACCAGAACGACCCGCAAAGGGUUUGGUAUUUUUUUAAAGGCAGUAUCUAAAAGCCUCCACCACCAAGCUCCUGCAAAAUCCUUCACUCCAAGUCUACUAUCUCCAGGUGACCUUAAAGGCUUUAUUUUUCCUUCUUAUUCCGUUGUUUUAUUUGUUCUUUUCUUCCUUGUUUCCUUUCUUAUUUUAAUCCUCUGUUUCUUUCUCAAUCUCUCUCCCCCCCCCCUUAUUUCUUUCUAUUUUCUUCCUCUAUUUCUUCCCUUCAUUCUCCCAAUGUCUCUACCUUUUCCCCAUCCCUUUUUCUCUCUCCUUUUCUUUCACCUUUACACUACGCUUUUCAAGGAAAAUUGUCACACAGAUUUCCACCAUCCCUGAUUUCUUAAAGUGCCUCCCUUCUUCAUCACCCCACCCUUUUCUUUCUCCCCCACCCCUGGACAGAGAAUAUGUGGAAUGGAAUAGAAAAGGCAGCUUGACAAAUGCAUUUUCUCAAAGAAAAUAUUAAACGAAGAGAAGCGUAUUAUUCCCUUACCUUUUGACGUCCAUUUCUGUGGCAUAAGUAAAAUAGGGAGGGAGAGGGAGACAGCGUUUGCUUAUCUGUUAGCUGACAAAUAUUGUCCCAACCUGAGAGCCGUCGGUCGCCUCUCUGACUUGUGAGAGCUUCUUGCAUUUCUGUCAUUUGCAUAGAAAAUGGAGCAACUUCCCUCUUUGAAAAAUGAUAGCCUCCACUCGGUCCAGAACCUCCUCUGCCCCUCCAUGGCUACCGAGAUUCCAGAUCAGCAGCAAAUUAAGAGAGGAAUUAAAAAAUAAUAAUAAUAAUAAUAAAAAAAUCAAAAUAAAAUGAAUAACCAAAAAUCCUACAACUCUUUUCCUACGUGCGUGCGGAGAUGGGUGCCUGGGGGUGCGUGCGGGUGUGUGCAGGGCUGCUCCCCCCUCCCCGCUCCCCUCUUUUAGCCCUAUCGAGCUUAUACACAAAAGUAAAAAAAUAUAAAGAGGCGAGAGCCCUAUAGAGGACACUGAUCCGACCCAAGGUGCAGCGGACAGAAGAAUGGUGCAAUAUAACCACAUGGGAAAUAAUAAAAAGUUCAUGUUCACGGUUAGCAGUCCACAUGACCGGCUCUGGCCAAUCCCAGAACCCAGCCACUCAUAAAGUUCUAUCACAAAGUUGUAAAUUUUCAUAAAACAACAAGGAAUUUAUUGCAUUUCUUCAUGACCGGUUUAACAGCAGCCUUUUUCUUAGCCGCCAUCUUUUUUCUUUUAAACAAAAAUAAAAGAAUAUAAAAGGGGGUUCAGGGAUUUCCAACCCCCCCCUUUUGUUUGCAUGGGGGGGGGAUGUGGAGGGCAAUAAUCGAAAUGCUCUUCACACUUUAGGCUAGGAACAAUGAGAGCCCCCCCCAGAAUAAAGGGCUUGAGGCUGGCGUUGGUUUUUACAUGGGGAAAGGCGCAGUAAAACAGUGGGGUUCGCUGGGAUUUGGAUGGCUUUUUUUUUUGCUUUCUUCCUUUUUUUCUUGAUGCGAUUGGGAUCGUUUCUGCUGAAAGGGGCAAUUAUCAGAAUUUGGAGGGGGGGAAGGGAGGCAAAUAGAGGCAAUGAAAGCGUGGCCUUCGGCUGGGGGGGUCGGGCCAGACACCCCCAAAGAGCCCCCGGAACCCCUUCCGAGGCCCCCCGCAGCCCCUGUUAUAGCAGGGUGCGUCAGUGUGCUCCGGUAAGAGACUUGAACAACGAAGAAAUCCAGGUAAAAAUAUACACAGAGGAAAGAGCAUAGCAGGGAGAAAAGAACCGCGGAGGUUGCAGGGAGAAGGAGUAACCAUCAUUCCCAUUAUGUACAGGACUCUAUAUGCUAAGCAGAAUUUGCAUUCAGACUUUUCAGAUCACGUUUUCUAAAUUAAAGGUGCUAAACACGA